rnacentral:rRNA from 1 species
AGCUAAUAGAUACCCCGGUAGUCCACGCCCUAAACGAUGUCAACUGGUUGUUGGUCCUUCACUGGAUCAGUAAACGAAAAGCUAAACGCGUGAAGUUGACCGCCUGGGGAGUACGGCCGCAAGGUCGAAACUCAAAGGAAUUGACGGGGACCCGCACAAGCGGUGGAUGAUGUGGUUUAAUUCGAUGCAACGCGAAAAACCUUACCCACCUUUGACAUGCUUGGAACCUCGCAGAGAUGUGAGGGUGCCCGAAAGGGAGCCAAGACACAGGUGCUGCAUGGCUGUCGUCAGCUCGUGUCGUGAGAUGUUGGGUUAAGUCCCGCAACGAGCGCAACCCUUGUCAUUAGUUGCUACAUUUAGUUGGGCACUCUAAUGAGACUGCCGGUGACAAACCGGAGGAAGUGGGGAUGACGUCAAGUCCUCAUGGCCCUUAUAGGUGGGGCUACACACGUCAUACAAUGGCCGGUACAAAGGGCUGCCAACCCGCGAGGGGAGCUAAUCCCAUAAAACCGGGUCGUAGUCCGGAUCGCAGUCUGCAACUCG